rnacentral:rRNA from 1 species
GUACACUCCUGCGGGAGGCAGCAGUGGGGAAUUUUGGACAAUGGGCGAAAGCCUGAUCCAGCAAUGCCGCGUGAGUGAAGAAGGCCUUCGGGUUGUAAAGCUCUUUUGUCAGGGAAGAAACGGUGAGAGCUAAUAUCUUUUGCUAAUGACGGUACCUGAAGAAUAAGCACCGGCUAACUACGUGCCAGCAGCCGCGGUAAUACGUAGGGUGCAAGCGUUAAUCGGAAUUACUGGGCGUAAAGCGUGCGCAGGCGGUUUUGUAAGUCUGAUGUGAAAUCCCCGGGCUCAACCUGGGAAUUGCAUUGGAGACUGCAAGGCUAGAAUCUGGCAGAGGGGGGUAGAAUUCCACGUGUAGCAGUGAAAUGCGUAGAUAUGUGGAGGAACACCGAUGGCGAAGGCAGCCCCCUGGGUCAAGAUUGACGCUCAUGCACGAAAGCGUGGGGAGCAAACAGGAUUAGAAACCCCUGUAGUCCCAUGAU